rnacentral:rRNA from 1 species
GCUUAUUACUAUAUAAAUAAUAAAUUAUUAUUUUAUUUGAAAACAUUAAAAAAAUCAGUAAAGGUGAUUAAAAAUUUUAUAUUAUUUCGAAAAGUACUGUGAAGGAAAUCAUGUAACUAAAUAUAAAAAAGAAUUAACUUCUGUACCUUUUGUAUCAUGGUUUAGCUAGAUUUUUUUCUUAUAUAAGAUUUCUCGAAACCUAGUGAGCUAUUUUUAGCAGAUUUUUUAGAAUCUUAGAAAGUAGUUGUAGCAAAAACUUUUUCAUAGUUAAGAAUAGAAAUGAAAUUUUAUUCGUACUAGGUGAUAGCUAGUUUAUCAUAAAAAACAUAGAAGUGUUCUAAACUAAGCUUAAAGAUUUAAUUUUUAGGUAAUUAAAUGAGACAUAGUUUAGCCAGAUUUUUGAGGAUAAGCUCAGAAAUAUUUAUAUUAUCGGCAUCUUAUUUAUACUUACUAAAUUUAGGCUUGAAAAUAGCCAUUAUUAGUGAUUUUGUUAUAAUUUCAUUAGUUUUGUACUAAAGAUAAUUAAUUUGCCAAUAUCAAAAUGAUAUAAACCUAGAAAUUUUUAAGGUUACACUUAUGUUAAAAUGAGUAUUCAGAUUAUUUCUUUUUCAAAAUUUAUACACAUUGAAACUUAAAUAAUUAUAUUAUUAAAAAACCAAAAGAAGGAACUCGGCAAAAAAUAUUCUGCCUGUUUAGCAAAAACAUGGCUCUUUGUAAAAAAUAAAUAGAGAGUCGGACCUGCCCGGUGAUAGUUUUUAACGGCCGCGGUACCCUGACCGUGCAAAGGUAGCAUAAUCAUUUGCCUUGUAAUUUAAGGCUAGUAUGAAGGGUUUGACAAGAAUAUAACUGUCUCCUUUUGGUUUAAUAGAAUUUUACUUGUAAGUGAAGAGGCUUACAUUAUAUUAACAGACAAGAAGACCCUAUCGAGCUUAAAAGUAAUUAAUAGUAAUACUUCAAAUGAAUAGUCAAAAUUAAAUCUAUUAAAAAUUUUGGUUGGGGCGACUGAGGAACAAAUAAAGCUUCCUUAAAAAAUUUAACAUUCAAGUAAAGAUCCAGAAAAUUCUGAUUAAAGGAGUUAGUUACCGUAGGGAUAACAGCAUUAUCUUUUUUGAGAGCUCUUAUCGAAAAAAAGGUUUGUGACCUCGAUGUUGGACCAGAAUAUCCCGAAGGUGUAGCAGCCUUCAAAGGUUGGUCUGUUCGACCAUUAAAAUUCUACGUGAUCUGAGUUCAGACCGGCGUGAGCCAGGUCAGUUUCUAUCUUUAAUUAUUUAAAUAAGUUUAGUACGAAAGGACCAAUUUAUUACAAUAAAUGUUUAUAAUGAUUACGUCUAAUGUGGCAAUUUAAAAAAA